UACGUAGGGACCAAGCGUUGUUCGGAAUUACUGGGCGUAAAGGGCGCGUAGGCGGUGUGUCAAGUCAGGCGUGAAAGCCCCGGGCUCAACCUGGGAACCGCGCUUGAGACUGGCACGCUAGAGUUCGGGAGAGGAUGGUGGAAUUCCCAGUGUAGAGGUGAAAUUCGUAGAUAUUGGGAAGAACACCGAUGGCGAAGGCAGCCAUCUGGACCGACACUGACGCUGAGGCGCGAAAGCGUGGGGAGCAAACAGG
rnacentral:rRNA from 1 species